rnacentral:rRNA from 1 species
UACGUAGGGACCAAGCGUUGUUCGGAUUUACUGGGCGGUAAAGGGCGCGUAGGCGGCGCGGUAAGUCAACUUGUGGAAAUCUCUGAGCUUAACCCCAGAACGGCCAAGUGAAUACUGCAGUGCUAGAGUGUGGAAGGGGCAAUCGGAAUUCUUGGUGUAGCGGUGAAAUGCGUAGAUAUCAGAAGAACACCCGUGGCGAAGGCGGUUCUCUGGGACGGUACUGACGCUGAGACGCGAAAGCGUGGGGAGCGAACAGG